GGAGGAAAAGAAACCAACAGGGAUUGCCCUAGUAACGGCGAGUGAAGCGGCAACAGCUCAGAUUUGAAAUCUGGCGCCUUUGGCGUCCGAGUUGUAAUCUGUAGAGGAUGCUUUUGGGUAGCCACCGGUCUAAGUCCCCUGGAACGGGGCGUCACAGAGGGUGAGAAUCCCGUAUGUGACCGGAAGGGCGCCCUCCACAUAGCUCCUUCGACGAGUCGAGUUGUUUGGGAAUGCAGCUCUAAAUGGGAGGUAAAUUCCUUCUAAAGCUAAAUACCGGCCAGAGACCGAUAGCGCACAAGUAGAGUGAUCGAAAGAUGAAAAGCACUUUGGAAAGAGAGUUAAAAAGCACGUGAAAUUGUUGAAAGGGAAGCGCUUGCAACCAGACUUGUUGGCGGUGUUCCGCCGGUCUUCUGACCGGUCUACUCACCGUCUGCAGGCCAGCAUCAUCUGGGGCCGCUGGAUAAAAGCGAGGGGAAUGUGGCUCCCCCGGGAGUGUUAUAGCCCCUCGUGCAAUACAGCGAGCCUCGGGUGAGGUCCGCGCUUCGGCUAGGAUGCUGGCGUAAUGGUCGUAAGCGGCCCGUCUUGAAACACGGACCAAGGAGUCUAACAUCUAUGCGAGUGUUCGGGUGUCAAACCCCUACGCGUAAUGAAAGUGAACGGAGGUGGGAGCCUUAGGGUGCACCAUCGACCGAUCCUGAUGUCUUCGGAUGGAUUUGAGUAAGAGCAUAGCUGUUGGGACCCGAAAGAUGGUGAACUAUGCCUGGAUAGGGUGAAGCCAGAGGAAACUCUGGUGGAGGCUCGCAGCGGUUCUGACGUGCAAAUCGAUCGUCAAAUUUGGGUAUAGGGGCGAAAGACU
rnacentral:rRNA from 1 species